rnacentral:rRNA from 1 species
UCAGAUUGAACGCUGGCGGCAGGCUUAACACAUGCAAGUCGAGCGGAAACGAUGGUAGCUUGCUACCAGGCGUCGAGCGGCGGACGGGUGAGUAAUACUUAGGAAUCUACCUAGUAGUGGGGGAUAGCACGGGGAAACUCGUAUUAAUACCGCAUACGACCUACGGGAGAAAGGGGGCAGUUUACUGCUCUCGCUAUUAGAUGAGCCUAAGUCGGAUUAGCUAGAUGGUGGGGUAAAGGCCUACCAUGGCGACGAUCUGUAGCUGGUCUGAGAGGAUGAUCAGCCACACCGGGACUGAGACACGGCCCGGACUCCUACGGGAGGCAGCAGUGGGGAAUAUUGGACAAUGGGGGAAACCCUGAUCCAGCCAUGCCGCGUGUGUGAAGAAGGCCUUUUGGUUGUAAAGCACUUUAAGCAGUGAAGAAGACUCUUCGGUUAAUACCCGGAGACGAUGACAUUAGCUGCAGAAUAAGCACCGGCUAACUCUGUGCCAGCAGCCGCGGUAAUACAGAGGGUGCAAGCGUUAAUCGGAAUUACUGGGCGUAAAGCGAGCGUAGGUGGCUUGAUAAGUCAGAUGUGAAAUCCCCGGGCUUAACCUGGGAACUGCAUCUGAAACUGUUAGGCUAGAGUAGGUGAGAGGGAAGUAGAAUUUCAGGUGUAGCGGUGAAAUGCGUAGAGAUCUGAAGGAAUACCGAUGGCGAAGGCAGCUUCCUGGCAUCAUACUGACACUGAGGCUCGAAAGCGUGGGUAGCAAACAGGAUUAGAUACCCUGGUAGUCCACGCCGUAAACGAUGUCUACUAGUCGUUGGGUCCCUUGAGGACUUAGUGACGCAGCUAACGCAAUAAGUAGACCGCCUGGGGAGUACGGCCGCAAGGUUAAAACUCAAAUGAAUUGACGGGGGCCCGCACAAGCGGUGGAGCAUGUGGUUUAAUUCGAUGCAACGCGAAGAACCUUACCUGGUCUUGACAUAUCUAGAAUCCUGCAGAGAUGCGGGAGUGCCUUCGGGAAUUAGAAUACAGGUGCUGCAUGGCUGUCGUCAGCUCGUGUCGUGAGAUGUUGGGUUAAGUCCCGCAACGAGCGCAACCCUUGUCCUUAGUUACCAGCGGGUUAAGCCGGGAACUCUAAGGAUACUGCCAGUGACAAACUGGAGGAAGGCGGGGACGACGUCAAGUCAUCAUGGCCCUUACGACCAGGGCUACACACGUGCUACAAUGGUAGGUACAGAGGGCAGCUACACAGCGAU